rnacentral:rRNA from 1 species
GGAGGCUUGUAGGGAAAUCCGCAGGCUGAGUUGAGAUCGUGUGGCGUGCCGUACAGGCUUAAGUGAGCCGAGCCUUGCUGCCGAGAAAAGCCCCUAAACGUUGAAUCUUGAGUGCCCGUACCGCAAACCGACUCUGGUAGACGAGUAGAAAAUACUAAGGCGAACGGGGAAACCCUCGUUAAGGAACUAGGCAACAUAGCCCCGUAACUUUGGGAGAAGGGGUGCCUGCUGGGGUGAUGAAAAGAGCCCCGGUGGGUCGCAGUGAAUGGGUUCUAGUGACUGGUUACCAAAACCACAGGUCUCUGCAAAACCGAAAGGUGAUGUAUAGGGGCUGACGCCUACCCAGUGCCGGAAGGUUAAGGGGAGAGGUUAGCGCAAGCAAAGCUUUGAACCGAAGCCCCGGUGAACGGCGGCCGUAACUAUAACGGUCCUAAGGUAGCGAAAUUCCUUGUCGGGUAAGUUCCGACCCGCACGAACGGCGUAACAACUAGAACACUGUCUCAACGAGGGACCCGGCGAAAUUGAAAUGGCUGUGAAGAUGCGGCCUACCCGCAGCAGGACAAAAAGACCCCGUGGAGCUUUACUGCAUCUUGGCAUUGAAUUUGGGCAUUGUUUGUGUAGGAUAGGUGGGAGGCUUUGAAGCUAGGGCGCUAGCCUUGGUGGAGCCAACGGUGAAAUACCACCCUGAUGAUGUUUAGAUCCUAACCCCACGCCGUAAUCCGGGUGGGGGACCGUGCCAGGUGGGCAGUUUGACUGGGGCGGUCGCCUCCUAAAAGGUAACGGAGGCGCCCAAAGGUUCCCUCAUGCUGAAUGGAAACCAGCAGAAGAGUGCAAAGGCACAAGGGAGCUUGACUGCAAGACCAACGCGUCGAGCAGAUACGAAAGUAGGGCUUAGUGAUCCCACGGUUCUGAGUGGAAGGGCCGUGGCUUACCGGACAAAAGCUACCCCGGGGAUAACAGGCUGGUGAAGUCCAAGAGUUCUUAUCGACGACUUCGCUCGGCACCUCGAUGUCGGCUCAUCGCAUCCUGGGGCUGUACAAGGUCCCAAGGGUCGGGCUGUUCGCCCGUUAAAGCGGUACGCGAGCUGGGUUCAGACCGUCGCGAGACAGGUCGGUCUCUAUCCGCUGUGGGCGUAAGGGAUUUGAGAGGAGCUGCCCCUAGUACGAGAGGACCGGGGUGGACUGACCUCUGGUGUGCCAGUUGUCGUGCCAACGGCAUUGCUGGGUAGCCAACGUCAGGCAGAGAUAACCGCUGAAAGCAUCUAAGCGGGAAACUUGCCUCAAGAUUAGAUCCCUGUUUUCCCGCUAAGGGAGUAAGGUCGCAGGUAGACUACCUGCUUGAUAGGCGGCGUGUGUAAGCGCAGUAAUGCGUUCAGCUAAGCCGUACUAAUGACCGAGGGCUUCCUCAU